rnacentral:lncRNA from 1 species
CUGGAGAGCCAUGGGGAGCCACUGCAUCCUGGAAGAGUUGAGUGUGGCAGCCUGAGCCCUGGUCUUGAUUCUGCGACCUCGGGUGUGAACUCACCAGGUGCGAGAAGGGGACGCUGGCAGGGACGCAGACCGUGCCUGAGCCGGCCUUCCUGUGUGGGCCCAGAUACCGGCUCAGGUCCCACCUCCCCUGGUGCUGUCCACACCAGGACAGCAGAAGCCUCAUGCCUGGUCCCCAGGGAUACGGUUCUGAAUCAAAACCUCUCACGGCACAUCGAAUUGAGCCUGACCAAUGCCUGGGUCCUGGCAGUGGAGGCUGGGAGGAGAGUGUCUGGGAUUCUGUCCGGGGAGGCAGGGCUGUCACUGUGGGGAGCUAUGAACAUGGAUGGGGCUUGCUGAAGAGACUCAAGCAGCUCGGGGGUCAGAACAGCUCCGAGAACCACGUCCUCCUCCCACUUUGGGAUCUGGGCCAAGUCUCCCUGCCUGUCUGGGCCUUGAUUUCCUCCUCUGUAAGUGUGUGGAGGACAAGAUGACCUCUAAGACCUGUCCAGUUCUGGGGUCCCACCCCUGAGGCCUUUGCAGCCUGGGCUGGCAGCCCUGAAUGAUACAGGGGACACCUGCAGGGGCCGCACCCCUGCAUAGACUGCAGUUAAUUCUGGGUUAAGCAAAGCCUGUGUUUCCCACACGGGCCGAGCUUCUGAUGUCUGGAAAGAUGAGGACCCGCACUUGCUUCCAUCAGCAGCAUGUCCUGUGCACACGAAGGUUGCACCGUCCUAAAAACACCACUCCGAUGACGAUCUGAGCUUUUAAGUGUCUCCUGCUGUCUGCAGCACGUUGAGCAGAA